UACGUAGGGUGCGAGCGUUGUCCGGAAUUAUUGGGCGUAAAGAGCUUGUAGGCGGUUUGUCGCGUCUGCCGUGAAAAUCCGGGGCUCAACCCCGGACUGCGGUGGGUACGGGCAGACUAGAGUGUGGUAGGGGAGACUGGAAUUCCUGGUGUAGCGGUGAAAUGCGUAGAUAUCUGGAGGAACACCGGUGGCGAAGGCGGCAUUCUGGACCAUUACUGACGCUGAGGAGCGAAAGCCAGGGGAGCAAACGGGG
rnacentral:rRNA from 1 species